rnacentral:rRNA from 1 species
AUACGUAGGUGACAAGCGUUAUCCGGAUUUACUGGGCGUAAAGGGCGUGUAGGCGGUCUUGCAAGUCAGAAGUGAAAUUCCUGAGCUCAACUCGGGCGCUGCUUCUGAAACUGCAGGACUUGAGUGCUGGAGGGGAUAGCGGAAUUCCUAGUGGAGCGGUAAAAUGCGCAGAUAUUAGGAAGAACACCGGUGGCGAAGGCGGCUAUCUGGACAGUAAAUGGCGCGGAGGCGCGAAAGCGUGGGGAGCAAACAGGUUUAGAUACCCUGGUGGUCCACGCCGUAAACGAUGAAUACUAGGUGUAGGGGGUAUCGACUCCCUCUGUGCCGCAGUUAACACAAUAAGUAUUCCGCCUGGGGAGUACGGCCGCAAGGUUGAAACUCAAAUGAAUUGACGGGG